GACGAACGCUGGCGGCGUGCUUAACACAUGCAAGUCGAACGAAGUGGCGAACGGGUGAGUAAUACGUGGGUAACCUGCCCUCCUUUUUUGGCUACGCGUUAGAAACGGGGUCUAAUCCCGAAUAAAGGGGGCUGGGCUCGCGGCCUAUCAGCUUGUUGGUGGGGUGAUGGGCUACCAAGGCGGUGACGGGUAGCCGGCCUGAGAGGCUGAACGGCCACAUAGGGACGGCGAAACGGCCCAGAGUCCUAAGGGGGGCAGCAGUGGGGGAUAUUGCAGCAAGGGCGAAAGCCUGAUGCAGCGACGGCGCGGGGGGGAUGAGGGCUUUCGGGUUGUAAAACUCUGGCGCUAUCGAAAGGGUAGGUGGAGAAGAAGCGCCGGCUAACUACGUGCCAGCAGCCGCGGUAAUUC
rnacentral:rRNA from 1 species